GCCGGCAGUCACUCCGGCAUGACUUUCCGUUGUCCCAAGGAGAGUAACACAUAGAAAUGGCAGAAAAGCUGUAGACUGGCUCCUGGACACCUGAAAGGCAACUCAAUAGCCUAAGAGGCAUCAUGAGGCCAAAUAAAAAGUGUUGCUGCUCUUUCUGUAGCCCUGGUCCAUCCACUUCAGCUUCAAGCCGAAGCCAGGAGAGAGGAAAGUAAAGGACCAGGUGAAUGGACUGUCCCUGUUGCUCCAAAAUGUGCAUUUGAUAAGGAUUGCUUGGCUCACAGAAAAUACAGCUUAGUGGGAAUGCAAAGCCACACAUUUUUGUCUUUUUCAACCAUGGGUGCUUGCCUUUAUACAUGGCACAAGGAGACAGAAACUGCAAUUAUGAUGAAUUUUUUUCUUCUGGUGCUUUUUCCACUAAUGUACCAUUAACUCUUUA